rnacentral:rRNA from 1 species
AAGAAUAAGGACCGGCUAACUCCGUGCCAGCAGCCGCGGUAAUACGGAGGGUCCAAGCGUUAAUCGGAAUUACUGGGCGUAAAGCGCGCGUAGGCGGUUUAGCAAGUUGUAUGUGAAAGCCCUGGGCUCAACCUAGGAACUGCAUCCAAAACUACUAAGCUAGAGUACGAGAGAGGAGAGUAGAAUUUCUGGUGUAGCGGUGAAAUGCGUAGAUAUCAGAAGGAAUACCAAUGGCGAAGGCAGCUCUCUGGCUCGUAACUGACGCUGAGGUGCGAAAGCGUGGGUAGCAAACAGGAUUAGAUACCCUGGUAGUCCACGCCGUAAACGAUGACAACUAGCCGUUGGGCAGAUUUAACUGUUCAGUGGCACAGCUAACGCAUUAAGUUGUCCGCCUGGGGAGUACGGCCGCAAGGCUAAAACUCAAAUGAAUUGACGGGGGCCCGCACAAGUGGUGGAGCAUGUGGUUUAAUUCGAUGCAACGCGAAGAACCUUACCAAUCCUUGAAAUCUAGCGAAGUUCGCAGAGAUGUGAAUGUGCCUUCGGGAACGCUAUGACAGGUGUUGCAUGGCUGUCGUCAGCUCGUGUCGUGAGAUGUAUGGUUAAGUCCAGUAACGAGCGCAACCCCUAUCCUUAUUUGCCAGCGCGUAAUGGCGGGAACUAUAGGGAGACUGCCGGGUGAAACCCGGAGGAAGGCGGGGACGAGGUCAAGUCAUCAUGGCCCUUAUGGAUUGGGCUACACACGUGCUACAAUGGGAAGUACAGAGGGAUGCGAAAGCGCGAGCUGGAGCCAAACCCUUAAAACUUUUCUUAGUCCGGAUUGGAGUCUGCAACUCGACUCCAUGAAGUUGGAAUCACUAGUAAUCGCGAAUCAGAAUGUCGCGGUGAAUACGUUCUCGGGCCUUGUACACACCGCCCGUCACAUCAUGGAAGUGGGUUGCACCAGAAGUGGUUAGUCUAACCUUCGGGAAGACGAUCACCACGGUGUGAUUCAUGACUGGGAUGAAGUCGUAACAAGGUAGCCCUAGGGGAACCUGGGGCUG